GGGCCUGUGGUCUAGUCUGGUUAUGACGUUGCCUUGACAUGGCAGAGGUCGAGGGUUCAAAUCCCUCUGGGCCCA
rnacentral:tRNA from 1 species